rnacentral:rRNA from 1 species
UAGAGUAUCCUGGCUCAGAUUGAACGUGGCGGCAGGCCUAACACAUGCAAGUCGAGCGGAUGAAGGAGCUUGCUCCUGGAUUCAGCGGCGGACGGGUGAGUAAUGCCUAGGAAUUGCCUGGUAGUGGGGGACAACGUUUGAAAGGAACGCUAAUACCGCAUACGUCUACGGGAGAAAGCAGGGGACUUCGGGCCUGCGCUAUCAGAUGAGCCUAGGUGGAUUAGUAGUUGGUGAGGUAAUGGCUCACCAAGGCGACGAUCCGUAAUGGUUGAGAGGAUGAUCAGUCACACUGGAAUGAGACACGGUCCAGAUCUACGGGAGGCAGCAGUGGGGAUUGGCAAUGGGGAAAGCUGAUCCAGCCAUGCGCGUGUGUGAAGAAGGUUUGGAGUAAAGCACUUUAAGUUGGGAGGAAGGGCGUAAUUAAUACUGCAUUUGACGUUACCGACAGAAUAAGCCCGGCUAACUUGUGCCAGCAGCCGCGGUAAUACAGAGGGUGCAAGCGUUAUCGGAAUUAUGGGCGUAAAGCGCGGUAGGUGGUUUGUUAAGUUGGAUGUGAAAUCCCCGGGCUCAACCUGGGAAUGCUCCAAAACUGGCAAGCUAGAGUAUGGUAGAGGGGUGGAAUUUCUGUGUAGCGGUGAAAUGCGUAGAUAUAGGAAGGAACACCAGGCGAAGGCGACCACCGCAAGACUGAAA